UGGAGGAUGGGCGGAAAUUUUUAAGGUGAUCUUUUGGUUGGUGCAGAUGGCAAGGUGAGGAAGUUGCUUUUUGAGCAAGCACAAGUAUCUUAUUCAGAAUAUAUUUGCUACACUGGAAUUGCAUAGUUUGUGCCUCCUGAUAUUGACACAGUAGGGUACCAUGUGUUCCUUGAUCACAAACAAUAUUUCGACCCCUCAGAUGUUGGUGCUGGUAAAAUGCAGUGGUACACAUCUCAAAAGGAACCAGCUGGUGGUACUGAUUCUGAAAAUGAUGAGUGCCCAGGAUGAAGAUUUCAAUCGAUUAAAUGAAAGAAGGUAUAGCUUGAAGUGA